rnacentral:rRNA from 1 species
CCUACGGGAGGCUGCAGUGGGGAAUUUUGGACAAUGGGGGCAACCCUGAUCCAGCCAUGCCGCGUGCGGGAAGAAGGCCUUCGGGUUGUAAACCGCUUUUGUCAGGGAAGAAACGGUCUGCGCUAAUACCGCGGACUAAUGACGGUACCUGAAGAAUAAGCACCGGCUAACUACGUGCCAGCAGCCGCGGUAAUACGUAGGGUGCAAGCGUUAAUCGGAAUUACUGGGCGUAAAGCGUGCGCAGGCGGCUUUGCAAGACAGAUGUGAAAUCCCCGGGCUCAACCUGGGAACUGCAUUUGUGACUGCAUGGCUAGAGUGCGGCAGAGGGGGAUGGAAUUCCGCGUGUAGCAGUGAAAUGCGUAGAUAUGCGGAGGAACACCGAUGGCGAAGGCAAUCCCCUGGGCCUGCACUGACGCUCAUGCACGAAAGCGUGGGGAGCAAACAGGAUUAGAUACCCCGGUAGUC